AUUGAACGCUGGCGGCAGGCCUAACACAUGCAAGUCGAACGAGUGGCGGACGGGUGAGUAAUGUCUGGGAAACUGCCCGAUGGAGGGGGAUAACUACUGGAAACGGUAGCUAAUACCGCAUACCAUCGGAUGUGCCCAGAUGGGAUUAGCUUGUAGGUGAGGUAACGGCUCACCUAGGCGACGAUCCCUAGCUGGUCUGAGAGGAUGACCAGCCACAUUGUAACUGAGACACGGUCCAGAGUCGUACGGGAGGCAGAAGUGGUGAAUAUUGGACAAUGGGGGCAAGCCUGAUGGAGCAAUGCCGCGUGUAUGAAGAAGGCCUUCGGGUUGUAAAGUACUUUCAGCGGGGAGGCGUUACCCGCAGAAGAAGCACUGGCUAACUCCGUGCCAGCAGCCGCGGUAAUAC
rnacentral:rRNA from 1 species